rnacentral:rRNA from 1 species
UGGGGAAUCUUAGACAAUGGGGGAAACCCUGAUCUAGCCAUGCCGCGUGAGUGACGAAGGCCUUAGGGUCGUAAAGCUCUUUCGCCAGGGAUGAUAAUGACAGUACCUGGUAAAGAAACCCCGGCUAACUCCGUGCCAGCAGCCGCGGUAAUACGGAGGGGGUUAGCGUUGUUCGGAAUUACUGGGCGUAAAGCGCACGUAGGCGGACUAUUAAGUCAGGGGUGAAAUCCCGGGGCUCAACCCCGGAACUGCCUUUGAUACUGGUAGUCUUGAGUUCGAGAGAGGUGAGUGGAAUUCCGAGUGUAGAGGUGAAAUUCGUAGAUAUUCGGAGGAACACCAGUGGCGAAGGCGGCUCACUGGCUCGAUACUGACGCUGAGGUGCGAAAGCGUGGGGAG